GAACAUUCUUCACAACAGAGCAACAGGUCUUGCUCCACUGUGAUUCCAACAUUUCACAGUGAAGACACUCAGGACUGCACAGACAGAAACAAACAUCGAAGAAGCUGACCAUCAUGCAGCAGUCCUCAACUUCUGUGUGAGAAGAUGUUUUGCCCUUCAGCAGUGUUCAAGAUAUCUGCAUUGACCACCUCCACAUCCCCAUAUGUGUAUCCACUGCUGUGCACAGCUCAGUACAGUAGGACCUGCAUCCUGUUGAUCCUUUGGCAGUGAUCAGAUGAACUGUUGCAGGGAACCAAACUGCUGCAGAUCAGUCAUCCCUGUCAGAGUGAAAGUUCCUCCUAAAGCUGUGAAGACUCUCCCCCUCCAUGUUGCUAAAGGAAACUGGAAGCAGCACUUCUACAGCGAUUGGACAUGUCAAAGGUCACCAUCUUACCGCCCUUACGUCCUCACACUGAACGUUGACAGUUUUGAUUUGUGCCUACAAUGGACAGAUUCAACAUACAGCAACCAAUACUACUGACCCACUGACGGAC